rnacentral:rRNA from 1 species
GAUGAACGCUGGCGGCGUGCCUAAUACAUGCAAGUCGAGCGAACAGAUGAGGAGCUUGCUCCUCUGACGUUAGCGGCGGACGGGUGAGUAACACGUGGAUAACCUACCUAUAAGACUGGGAUAACUUCGGGAAACCGGAGCUAAUACCGGAUAAUAUAUUGAACCGCAUGGUUCAAUAGUGAAAGACGGUUUUGCUGUCACUUAUAGAUGGAUCCGCGCCGCAUUAGCUAGUUGGUAAGGUAACGGCUUACCAAGGCAACGAUGCGUAGCCGACCUGAGAGGGGGUCCGGCCAACCGGGAACUGACACCCGGUCCAGACCCCAACGGGGGGCAGAAGUGGGGAAUUUUCCGAAAGGGGGAAAAGCCUGACGGAGCACCCCCGGGGGGGUGAAGAGGUUCUUGGGACCUAAAACCUUUUUUUUUAGGGAAAAAAAAAUUUUAAAGAAACUAGCCCGGUUUUAAGGUUACCAAACCAAAAACCCCCGGCUAACUACG